rnacentral:lncRNA from 1 species
GCUUGCACAUACUAUCACAGAGUUGUUCACACCUGGUAUUUUGUCACGGUGGUGGGGAUGGACCUAACACAUUGCUGUAUUAGUUUGGACGGUUAAUAGGCAAGUAUCACAGACUUCCACAGAAGCAUAGUAUUUUCUCAUAAUUCUAGAGGCCAGAAGUCCAAGAUCAAGGGCCUCAGGCUGAGUCCCCCCUCCCUGGCUUGCAGGCAGGAUCCUCUCUUGGUAUUUUCCUUCGUCCCUCUGCCUAGGCAUCUCUGUCUUAACCUCCAUUUCUCCUCAGGACAUCACUCACUGUGAGACUGGCGUGGAUCAGAGGAUGCCAUUUUAACAGAUCACCUUGGUGAAGGCCUGUCUCCCAGCGUAGAUCCUAGGGCUUAGGGCUUCACCAUAUGGAUUUGGAUGGAGGAGGCAGAUCGCCCGUGACAACUGUUUCAUUUGAGUCAAACUCAGUGUCAUGUAUCUUAUCUUGUACAGCAACACUCCUCCUGUUAUAAUUUUUUUUUGAGACAUGGUUUCUCUGUGUAGCUUUGGAGCCUGUCCUGGCACUCGCUCUGGAUACCAGGCUGGCCUCAAACUCACAGAGAUCCGCCUGCCUCUUCCUCCCGAGUGCUGGGAUUAAAGGUGUGUGCCACCAAUGCCCGGCAUAAAACAAUUAUUAAUGAAUUAUGUGGUCAAUAAUGAGUGACCACAUUGAGAUCAAUGAUCCAGACUCAUUGAGAACCUUGAACAGAGCCUGCCAACAUCCCAUGGUCAGAUUGAGUGACAAAGAGAAGCCACCAGUGAAUCUUCCAGUGAUUUGCAUGCUCCAUCUCUUUCUUUUAACGUCUGAGGUGGGUCUAACAUCCCAAAGGUCCAUGUCUAUUUCUCAUGUUCACUCAUGUGCCUACAGGCACCGGUGGCCUGGGGGGACAAGCUCAUGAUGUGUUCAUGAGGAAACACCCGAGUGUUCCACAUAGCUCUGUGGAGCUCUGCAUCUCUACCCUUGGGCUCAGCUGGGUCUUCAGUUCCCAGGUUGGCCUGUGUGGAGCUUGGCAUCAGAUCUGCCCCUUGGGAACAUGAGAUCUGCAUAUUCCUGCCGGGGCUUGUUCCUGGGGACUCCAGGCCUAGUCUCUCCUCAGGACUGCAUGUGACAUCCAGGAGGCUGCAGACAGGACGGUUCAGUAUGGGCUUCUUGCUUGCCAUAGUUCUGCUUGCUGCAACAGCUCCUGGCAUCCAUACUGUGGAAAGAGUAACUAUGAUCAUUGGAAAUGCCUUCGAAGCAAAUAAGGACAAGGAGGAGAGUCCAAAGCUGUCAGUCGUGUUUCUUCUUGUAAACAAACUGGCAUGGUUUGGUUAGGAAGUGAGAGGCAGCUAAACAUUGGAAUCAGAGAAAACGUGGGUUUGAUUUUAACUUGCACUGGUCCUUCGCCUUAUGAACUUCAAAAUGGGUGUGUUCUUGCCUGCCUGCCCUCCCUUCCUCCGCCCCUCCCCCUUUCUCUUUCCCUCCCCUCCUUCUUUGUCAUUUUUUUUUGAGACAGGGUCUUACGUAGCUCUGCCUUGCCUUGAACUCCCAAAUGCUGGGAGGGACCACAGGCUUGUGUCACCAAGCUCCUCACGGUGCUAAAGAUUGAACCUAGGACCUCAUGCGUGCUAGAUUUACGGUCCAGUUUCAUAGAGCAAACACAAUACUCUGUGCUCAGCAUGCCAUUUCCUCUUCCGGACACACAGCAGGAAAGCGCCGUUCACUCCUCCAGCACAGUCAUGCUGAGGUCACAGGAGCACGGGCCAGCACACAUGGCUGUGAGCUCUACGUGCCAUUUCUCAGCCCGAGUAUAAAAGGCCCUGGAAAAAAAUCUCCCUCGCCCUCCCCCGCUCUCAUCCUUUCAGGACCUUGGUGGCCACAUGAUGGAUGAGGUUAUAACAUAAAAUUUGCAGAGAUGGGGGAUGUGGGGAGCGGAGCUGACGUGACUUUUCAGAAGAGAGUCAUCCUGGUUGUCUGUCUGCUCUGACCUAUUUCAGGGUUUCCUUGUGCAACAAGCAAACCUUCAUUGUGUCAAGACCCUAAGGGUUCAAAGUGCAUCGUUGUGGAAUAGCCCGACACAUUGUAACUAAAAGUGUGUGUGUGUGUGUGUGUGUGUGUGUGUGUGUGUGUGUGUGUGUGUGUGUGGUGUGUACACGUGAGCACAGUGUCUCAUCUAGUCAGGGCUGUCUUUGCACUCAUUGGAUAGUGUAGGAUGACCUUGAACUUCUGCUCCAUUUACCUCCACUUUCUGAGUGCUGGGAUUGCAGGCCUGCACCACCACGCCCCAUUCGUGCUGUACUGAGGGUGGAACCCAGAGUUUUGUGCCUGCUGGGCCCUCUACCGACUAAGCCCUUUCGAUGGUUACUUCUAAUUGUCAACUGGAGCAACCUAGAAUUAUCCGGGAAGAAACAGACGGGAUGUCUGCCUACUCAUUUAUCCACAGAUGCGCCGAGGAUGGCCUGCUGAGCAGUGGUCUUUCGUGGCCUACUCCCAGUCUUUGAAGUGUCUUUGUUGUCUUUGGAAGCAAUAAAUAUGACACAUUCAUCAUUAAAUAAAUACAAUCCACAUGAUGUAGAUAAACUCACAAGGACACCCCACUGCUGCCAUCCAAAAGAAAGCCCCUGGGUCCAAAAGGGAGUAACAUGGUAACAACAGUUGACAGGAUGGAGGCUACAGGCCCUGGUGGUGACCAUUGUAUAGAUCAUACUCCGCUUUAAUAGGAGCUUGAUUAAACUGUGCGCCAGUAUGAAUGCUAUAAGACUCUUCCAAUACUUGUUACGUUGUUGAAAGAAGUAAAAUUAAGCAACC